rnacentral:lncRNA from 1 species
AUAAAAACAAAUAUCGCAAACUCCAUUUAAACUAUAUCCUGCUAUUAAAGGACCUAUGCUCUACCAUGGUCUUACGUUUCUCCUCCCAGUUUGAACAAAUGUUACCAGUUUCAGGGCUUUUGGAAUUAUUACCAGAUAAUGAUUUCACCAGCCCUCCGGGUUUAGAAAACAAUGCUUGAGGUAAGCUGUUUCUGAUCUCCCGCUAAUCCGAGAUAAUUGCUUUCGGGUUUCAUGGGGAAUCUGAAAUUCGCACUGCCGGAUUUGCAGAAUGCGCCUGCUGGAAAGGGGCUGGGGAGGACUUUUCCUGCUAUUGGCAAACCUGUUUUUAGCAGAGCUUCUACCAAAAUAACUCCUUCCUGGCGAGCCCCUAGGAAGCGGCUGUCAUGGCGGCUCUCUGUUGUCCGGAGGAUUCAGGGAAGGUCCCAGGGCAAAAGGUUUCCCUGGGCUGGCUGUCCCCACUCCUGGGAGGGAAGCCGGGGCAACAGCUGUGGAACGCCUAGAAGACAGUGGAUGGUUUGGGCCACCAGGGGGCGCGCUAGACCAGCGAAUUGACACAACGUUUGCGGUCCGCUGAGACCCCCACAGCGCUCUGGGAGGUUAGUAAAGCUCAGGAGCUGCCUUUUAAGAUGGAUCGAGGGUUGAACAAAGAUGGAGGUGAGCUUGGUUCGAUGUGACCGCCGGGAGCUAGAGGCAGGGCAUCAUAUGCAGGGAGCUCUGAGAUCCGUGCGUUCCAUCCUGGCCGGCCAGCCUGUGGCUCCUCCUCCUCACCCCCGCCGCCCGCCAUCCUGGGGAGUUUUCGGAGCCUGCGGAGCGGGCGUCCUGCCGAAACCUGAGACGGGAGCCCUGGUUCUGCCUCGCCCUCCACCCGCGAAGGGGGCAACCGUACAAAGGGGAAAUGCCGCGGGGCUCUGAUUUGCGCCGAGCUGCUCCAGGCCGGCGCUGACCACUGCCUCCAGGAUCCAGCUUUCUCAAGGCUCAGCCUCUUCAGGGUAAUUCAAGGAAGACUGGAGAGGGGGGACAAGAUGGAAAGGUGCCCACUUUUGUUGCCUUUUUUCUGAGUCCACUGGCGAGACAGCAGAUCAGAGAAGUAACUGCUCAACAGAAACCCCAGCGCCCAGCGAGACAGGGAGCCACGUGCGGAGCUGUUGACUUCAGCAUGGCCACGGAGCUGUGAUACGAUUGGGACUUGUCACGGCAGGGCGUGGGAGUGAGCCUGUGACUAACGCCCGGCGGUGUGACGCCGCGCUGGGGCUCUGCGAACCGCAGUCCGGCUGGCUAGCUGCUCCUUGUUGGGCUCCGCCAAGAUGGGGCGCCAGAGCAGGACCAGCCCUCUCCCGCCGGAGGACCGCCUUCCGGUCAGCAUCUCCCCCGAUCGCCUCUUCACUGGGGACUUCCCCUGGCCGGGCCUUGUCUGGCGGCCGGCCCUGAACCUGAUCUGCC